GCAACAUUCUUCCAGUCCGUUCUGUAAAUGAAGAAUAUUCUCAGUUAAAUAUCACAGGAUAUAUGGUAUUGAUAAAGAGAAAUACUUUACUCUUGUUUAUUCCAAGUUUGAGACGCCUUUUCAACAACAAGGGGCAUACUGUGUAUAUAUCUUAGGAGUAUCAAAAUCAGGAGUAUCAGAAAGUUAUUUACAAUGAAACAAUCCUCCGUGUCGAUUUGAAAAGUCAUAUAGAAUGAUGACUAUGAGGAAGAAAUCGGAGCCGACUAACAUUUCUUCCGUGAAGUAAGAGAAAUAAGUUGCGGUAAGGAAACAACGAUCGUAGUCUUAAACUGGCAAACGCGUUUAUCGAGGAAUGCGUGAAAGUUAAGCGCAAUCUUGAUCACGCGCGAAGAAAUGCAAAUGAAAUGCGUCCCUUUCGCUGGCCGCGUUCUUCAGAAAUGUCUUUAACACUUGAUGAGUAAUGCUUUAGGCAAAAUGCUCUCAUUAUAUGUGAAGUUCGUAUAUCAGAAGUUCGUCUUUCUAAAGAAAGCUGUUUCUCUGUGAUAAUCUGCAAUAAUGUGAAAUUCAUAUAUUAAAUCAAUAAAUACAAAGAUCCUAUUUUUGCGUUCAGAAACACCACUCGUUCUUAUCGUUGUUAUUUUAUCAUUUAUUGAAUAUCAAACAAAAAAAAAUGAUAUACGGGUCGGUCAUGAUAUGA